rnacentral:rRNA from 1 species
UACGGGGGGGGCAAGCGUUGUUCGGAAUUACUGGGCGUAAAGGGCUUGUAGGUGGCCAACUAAGUCAGACGUGAAAUCCCUCGGCUUAACCGGGGAACUGCGUCUGAUACUGGAUGGCUUGAGUUUGGGAGAGGGAUGCGGAAUUCCAGGUGUAGCGGUGAAAUGCGUAGAUAUCUGGAGGAACACCGGUGGCGAAGGCGGCAUCCUGGACCAAUACUGACACUGAAAAGCGAAAGCCAGGGGAGCGAACGGG